UAAGACGGAGGGGGCAAGCGUUGUCCGGACUCACUGGGCGUAAAGGGUGCGCAGGCGGCAGAGCGCGUCCGCGCUGAAAUCUGUCGGCUUAACUGACAGGCGCGUGCGGAUACGGCUCAGCUCGAGGCACGGAGAGGGUGGGGGAACUCCUGGUGUAGUGGUGAAAUGCGUAGAGAUCAGGAAGAACACCCGUGGCGCAAGCGCCCACCUGGCCGUGACCUGACGCUGCGGCACGAAAGCGUGGGGAGCGAACCGGAUUAGAUACCCGGGUAGUCCACGCUGUAAACGAUGUCGACUCGGUGGGUGGGUCGCCUUUUGGGCGACCUGCGUGCCUAAGCUCACGCGGUAAGUCGACCGCCUGGGGACUACGAGCGCAAGCUUA
rnacentral:rRNA from 1 species